ensembl:snRNA LOC120096754 U6 spliceosomal RNA
UCGCAUUUGUAGCAAAUAUACUAAAAUUGGAAAGAUUCAGAGACUAUUAGCAUGGCACCUGAACAAAGAUGAGGAACAAAUUUGCCAAACAUUCAGCAUUUUU